rnacentral:rRNA from 1 species
UAACCGCAAGGAGGACGGUCACCACGGUAGGAUUCAUGACUGGGGUGAAGUCGUAACAAGGUAGCCGUAUCGGAAGGUGCGGCUGGAUCACCUCCUUUCCAG